rnacentral:rRNA from 1 species
UUGCGGUAGGGGAUGGGGUCGCGUCCUAUCAGCGUGAUGGCGGGGUAACGGCCCACCAUGGCUUCGACGGGUAGCCGGCCUGAGAGGGCGACCGGCCACAUUGGGACUGAGAUACGGCCCAGACUCCUACGGGAGGCAGCAGUGGGGAAUAUUGCACAAUGGGCGCAAGCCUGAUGCAGCGACGUCGCGUGCGGGAUGACGGCCUUCGGGUUGUAAACCGCUUUUGACUGGGAGCAAGCCCUUCGGGGUGAGUGUACCUUUCGAAUAAGCACCGGCUAACUACGUGCCAGCAGCCGCGGUAAUACGUAGGGUGCAAGCGUUAUCCGGAAUUAUUGGGCGUAAAGGGCUCGUAGGCGGUUCGUCGCGUCCGGUGUGAAAGUCCAUCGCUUAACGGUGGAUCCGCGCCGGGUACGGGCGGG